AAAGGUUCCCUCAGAAUGGUUGGAAAUCAUUCGCAGAGUGUAAAGGCACAAGGGAGCUUGACUGCGAGACCUACAAGUCGAGCAGGGACGAAAGUCGGGCUUAGUGAUCCGGUGGUUCCGCAUGGAAGGGCCAUCGCUCAACGGAUAAAAGCUACCCCGGGGAUAACAGGCUUAUCUCCCCCAAGAGUCCACAUCGACGGGGAGGUUUGGCACCUCGAUGUCGGCUCAUCGCAUCCUGGGGCUGUAGUCGGUCCCAAGGGUUGGGCUGUUCGCCCAUUAAAGCGGUACGCGAGCUGGGUUCAGAACGUCGUGAGACAGUUCGGUCCCUAUCCGUCGCGGGCGCAGGAAAUUUGAGAGGAGCUGUCCUUAGUACGAGAGGACCGGGAUGGACGCACCGCUGGUGUACCAGUUGUUCUGCCAAGGGCAUCGCUGGGUAGCUAUGUGCGGA
rnacentral:rRNA from 1 species